rnacentral:rRNA from 1 species
UAGGGAAUCUUCCACAAUGGACGAAAGUCUGAUGGAGCAACGCCGCGUGAGUGAAGAAGGUUUUCGGAUCGUAAAGCUCUGUUGUUGGUGAAGAAGGAUAGAGGCAGUAACUGGUCUUUAUUUGACGGUAAUCAACAGAAAGUCACGGCUAACUACGUGCCAGCAGCCGCGGUAAUACGUAGGUAGCAAGCGUUGUCCGGAUUUAUUGGGCGUAAAGCGAGCGCAGGCGGAAUGAUAAGUCUGAUGUGAAAGCCCACGGCUCAACCGUGGAACUGCAUCGGAAACUGUCAUUCUUGAGUGCAGAAGAGGGGAGUGGAACUCCAUGUGUAGCGGUGGAAUGCGUAGAUAUAUGGAAGAACACCAGUGGCGAAGGCGGCUCUCUGGUCUGCAACUGACGCUGA